rnacentral:rRNA from 1 species
UACGGAGGGGUGCAAGCGUUAUCCGGAUUCACUGGGUUUAAAGGGAGCGUAGGUGGCUUUGUAAGUCAGUGGUGAAAUCUUAGAGCUUAACUCUAAAACUGCCAUUGAUACUGCUUAGCUUGAAUCACGUCGAGGUGGAUGGAAUAUUACAUGUAGCGGUGAAAUGCUUAGAUAUGUAAUAGAACACCGAUUGCGAAGGCAGUUCACUAGGCGUGUAUUGACACUGAGGCUCGAAAGCGUGGGGAUCAAACAGG